UAAGAGAACAGCACUAGCGCUCACUGCGAGCGCCCAACACAAGUUGCUUGAGCGGUACCGGGCCACGGUGCCAACGAUGGCGCAGCCCUUUGCCCUGCUGAGCGUAGAAGGCUCGUUACAUGGGUCUGUAGCUCAGUUGGUUAGAGCGCAGCCCUGAUAAGGCUGAGGUCGGAAGUUCGACUCUUCCCAGACCCACCACGUUCGCGCCGUCGCCGUGCGCCUCGCUCGUGUCGACGAGCUCGGGGCUGUAGCUCAGCUGGGAGAGCACCUGCUUUGCAAGCAGGGGGUCACCGGUUCGAUCCCGGUCAGCUCCACCAAUUUCCCAUACCGCUCAGAAAAAGAGACAGAUCACGCCUGAAAGAGUAAACGGAGACGGACUUGCGCUCGUACGAGCGCCGACUCUGAGUCUCGCUUCGUUUGCUUUUUCGCGUUCUUUAACAAUUUGGAAUGAUCCGUCUAUCGAAGUCGAAUACGACUUCGAUAAACGUCGCACUGUAUUUUUUUAAUUCAUGUAACCCAGACUUUUUGGGGUUAUAUGGUCAAGCGAAUAAGCGCAUACGGUGGAUGCCUAGGCGGUAAGAGGCGAUGAAGGACGUGGCAGCCUGCGAAAAGCUUCGGUUAGCUGGCAAACAAGCUCAGCCGGAGAUGU
rnacentral:misc_RNA from 1 species